CGAGAAUCAUUCACAAUGGGGGAAACCCUGAUGGUGCGACGCCGCGUGGGGGAAUGAAGGUCUUCGGAUUGUAAACCCCUGUCAUGUGGGAGCAAAUUAAAAAGAUAGUACCACAAGAGGAAGAGACGGCUAACUCUGUGCCAGCAGCCGCGGUAAUACAGAGGUCUCAAGCGUUGUUCGGAAUCACUGGGCGUAAAGCGUGCGUAGGCUGUUUCGUAAGUCGUGUGUGAAAGGCGCGGGCUCAACCCGCGGACGGCACAUGAUACUGCGAGACUAGAGUAAUGGAGGGGGAACCGGAAUUCUCGGUGUAGCAGUGAAAUGCGUAGAUAUCGAGAGGAACACUCGUGGCGAAGGCGGGUUCCUGGACAUUAACUGACGCUGAGGCACGAAGGCCAGGGGAGCGAAAGGGAUUAGAUACCCCUGUAGUCCUGGCAGUAAACGGUGCACGCUUGGUGUGCGGGGAAUCGACCCCCUGCGUGCCGGAGCUAACGCGUUAAGCGUGCCGCCUGGGGAGUACGGUCGCAAGAUUAAAACUCAAAGAAAUUGACGGGGACCCGCACAAGCGGUGGAGUAUGUGGCUUAAUUCGAUGCAACGCGAAGAACCUUACCUGGGCUUGACAUGUAAUGAACAACAUGUGAAAGCAUGCGACUCUUCGGAGGCGUUACACAGGUGCUGCAUGGCCGUCGUCAGCUCGUGUCGUGAGAUGUUUGGUUAAGUCCAGCAACGAGCGCAACCCCUGUUGCCAGUUACCAGCACGUGAAGGUGGGGACUCUGGCGAGACUGCCCAGAUCAACUGGGAGGAAGGUGGGGACGACGUCAGGUCAGUAUGGCCCUUAUGCCCAGGGCUGCACACGUACUACAAUGCCCAGUACAGAGGGGGCCGAAGCCGCGAGGCGGAGGAAAUCCUGAAAACUGGGCCCAGUUCGGACUGUAGGCUGCAACCCGCCUACACGAAGCCGGAAUCGCUAGUAAUGGCGCAUCAGCUACGGCGCCGUGAAUACGUUCCCG
rnacentral:rRNA from 1 species